GUCCUGGCCUCUGAGUCAUCAUCAUCUGUGUGUUUGUACUCACAGAUGCUGGGACAAGCAGAGCAGACAGUCAUAAAUACGUAAAACUUGACCACACACACACACAGACUCAUAACGAGCAUGAACGAAACAAGUCUGCCCUUCAUCAAGGUUAAACAGCACAUCCACACACUACUUCAUAUUCACAGAUAGUCAGCGUUCACCUGUCCACACACACACACCUGAAAACACACACACCCACCUGAAAACACACAACCGCACCUGAAAACACACACCCACACACACACACACACACACACACACCCACACACACACACACACACACACACACACCUGCAUCUGCACCUGAGUCUCCAGCAUGAACUCUGUGGUGAAGAAGAAGCUGGCCGCCCCAGUGAAGAAGCUGGCAGCCCCGGUGAAGAAGAUGGCAGCACCGGUUAAGAAGAUGGCCGCCCCGGUGAAGAAGAUGGCCGCCCCGGUGAAGAAGCUGGCCACCCCGGUGAAGAAGAUCACAUGCUGCGUGACGGGGGGCAAAGGCCGCAACCUGUGGGACAAGUACCGGGGCAAGAGGGGCAAAGGAGUGAGAGCCAGGGGCAGAGGACAGCGCUCUACCUGCCUCCAGGAGCCCAGCACCAGGUUGCCCUACCAGGAUGAUCUGGAGAAGGAGAGAAAGCAGAGAGAAGCAAAGAAUGCUCAGAAGAAUGCACACAGAGCUGCCAUGAGGGCUCACUUCAGGAGGAAGUACCAGCUCUCUAAGCAUAACACAGCUGUCUCCACCGGACCUGGGCCAAAUCAGAACUGGAUCAGGAUGGAUGUUAGCGUUAGCUAUUAUCUGCUACUGUUGGUUUGAUAAGGCCUUUUGUUCACACCAAUCUCACAGUCCACUGGUCUGGAUCCCCAUUCCACCACCCCAACUGCACCACAUGCCAAUCACAUACGGCCGUCCACAGUGCCCUUCUGUUCCCCCACUGGAAACUGGACUCGCUAUGCUCAUAUAGUGGUGUUCGUUCCCAAACACUAACUGUAGCACAUGGGCAUAAAUUAAAUGAAACCCAAUUAAUUAGUCAUGUUUAUGUCUGAGCAAUUGAUAAUCCAAAGUAUUACACAAGGAUUACCUACUGUUAUCUCUGGGCAUGGGGUGACAUAAUGGCUGAAACAGAUCCAAUGUGUCGUGUUUACAUUCAGUGAAAUGGACCAUAUUCUAGCCAUCCACAGUCACACAUGGUCUUCCUGCUGCACUACACACACUUGCACACAACCUUUCUUGAUCUUGACAGUCAUCUUCUUAAUCUCACUUCUGACACCAGGAAAACAAAUCCAGAGACAGCAUGAGUCAGCCUUUCCCUAAUAUAGUGCUGACCUUUACCCUGUCUUGUGUAAAGAUCACAAUUGCAAGAUGACUCAAUCCUGUGCACAAAGAGAUUCCU
rnacentral:lncRNA from 1 species